rnacentral:rRNA from 1 species
UACGGAGGGUGCAAGCGUUAUCCGGAUUCACUGGGUUUAAAGGGUGCGUAGGCGGCCUGAUAAGUAGGGGGUGAAAUCCUGCGGCUUAACCGCAGGGCUGCCUUCUAAACUGUCGGGCUAGAGCACGGUAGAGGCAGAUGGAAUUCCCGGUGUAGCGGUGGAAUGCGUAGAGAUCGGGAAGAACAUCAGUGGCGAAGGCGGUCUGCUGGGCCGUUGCUGACGCUGAGGCGCGACAGCGUGGGGAGCAAACAGG